CAAAGGUGUAGAGUCAUAAAAUGACAUAGGAGCACGAAAAAGAGAAUUUAAUAGCUCUGAGAACAAGGACUUUGAUGAUUGCAAACCUAAGAAAACCGUUGAUAGGGAUCUAGAGAGCAAAAACAGCGUUGAAACAACUCCAAUUACCAAGUAAACUGUAAUCAGUCUCAGAGUGCUAACGUGGGGGUUAUCAACAUUUGCAGCCAUCCAGGAGUUCUGGGUUAUCUGACCAAUCACAAAUGUUACGUGCGAGAGAAUAGCAAUGGAAAAGAACAAGUAUCCUUUGUUCUGAUUUAGAUAUUGAACAUAAGGCGUAAAUCCAGUGUCUCCGACUUCUCUCUCCUCUUGCUUAAUCAACUGAUCACCUCCAGGGGCUACAGAAGUUUUGCUAGUAUCAGUCUUACGAAUUUCUCUUGUAUUUGAUUCCCGCCUUGAUGAAGAAUUAACCUCUGCAACCCUCUCUGAACCAGCAGUCUCUUUGUGUGCAUCAACCAAGUCAUGGAAUUCUUUGCUUGAGGCCAAUAACUGAUGAUAAGGAGCUGCAUUUAAAAUUUCUCCAUCUGACAUUAACAGAACCAUAUCAAAAGCAGGAAGAAAAUCAACUUGGUGGGUCACAAGUAAGACAGUCUUCCCUGAGAGAGCUUCCAUGACGUAUUCAUUAAAUAGGCUACUAGCAGUAUGGGCAUCUACAGCACUGAACGGAUCAUCCAACAGAUAUAUAUCAGCAUUCUGAUAGAGUGCCCGAGCAAGUUGAAUGCGCUGCUUUUGACCACCACUAAGAUUAACUCCUCUUUCACCUAUUUCAGUGAGAUCACCAUAUGGUAGCAACUCAAGGUCUUUUAGUAGUGAACAUUUUUCCAAAGUUUGCUGGUAUCUCUGGCCAUCAUGUGGAGAACCAAACAAAAUAUUUUCUCGUAUUGACCCCGUCUGAAUCCAUGCUGACUGAGAGACAUAGGCAACUGUUCCAAAAACUUUAACAGUUCCUUCGAUACUUGGAACCUCUCCAAGAAUUGCUGCCAGAAGAGUUGACUUUCCUGAGCCCACCUCCCCACAUAUAGCAAUCUUCUCACCGGGUCUAACCUCCAAACUAAUGUUUCUAAGAGUAGGUCGAGGUGGAUUCUCUUCCCAUGAGAGAUUAGCUGAUUUCAAAAGUAUGGCAUGAUCUGUACAUCCAAAGUUGUGGUUCUGCCUAACAUUUGCAUUUUCCAGCUCGGGGGCCUCAAGGAACUUGACAAUCCUUUCAAAGGAAACCUUGGCUUGAAUCACCACACCAAUAACGUCAGGAAUGGUUCUUAUUGGAUCCUGAACCAGACGUAAAGUUGCUACAAAAGUGAAAACGUUACUUGCGUAUAGUGGAACACCUAGAAAAUAACAAGCCCCAAAUGUUGCAGCAGAGACCAAAACAGGUGAUGA
rnacentral:misc_RNA from 1 species